rnacentral:tRNA from 1 species
GUGCCUGUGGCGGAAUUGGUAAACGCAUGAGUUUGAUGUUUCACGACCAACUCGUCGCCCGCAUGAUGAUUUGAUUUGAACGGCAUGGCGAAUGCCUGACGGACUACAUGGACUCGGUAUCCCCAGGUCGCGGGUUCGAAUCCCGCCGGGCCG